rnacentral:lncRNA from 1 species
GAACUCCUCCUCCCUGCCCGCCUUUGCGCAGGGCCGGACUCUUCGGAAACUGAAAUCACGGGCCGCCCGGCCCCCACCAGUCCUCGUGGGAUCCGGCCCGGGUUAACCUUCUAUGGGGAGGCCCAGGAGGGCCGGGCGGAGCGCCGGGGCGGGCGUGCGCUGACGUGGCGAGCGGCUCCCUCCACCCGCUCCUCCCGCGGGCACUGCCGAGGCCCAUGGGCGGGAAGCCGGGCGGCGGGCGGGACGUGGCCUCGGUCCCGGCCCUGCCCCGCCCCGCCGCCACUGAGACUCCCAGCGCCACCAACGUCGGAGUUGCAGUUUCUUUAGCUGUCAUAUGCAGACAAGUACUACCCACCUCGCCUUUGGAGUGAGCAGCAUCCCUGUGCCCAUCCUGCUGUGAUUCAGGAGUCUCGCAGAAGACAUCAGAAUGCCUUUCUCUGAGUCACAGUCUGUAUCUUCUAGAAAAGGCUGUCCAUCUUCACCCCAAGCCCACUGGCUCCUGAGAUACGACAUCCAGACCCAGUGCAGCUGGACCUGGCCCAGGAAAAGAAAUACAAGUCCUUCCGCCUUGGCAAAGAUGAUAGUACCGUUCCCUUCAGUGUUCCGGUUCUGCUCUAUUGGAUAAGUUCCGGUUUGACUAUGACUACGUGAAAAUGUGGAACCAGACCUUCACCCCACAUUCCAGCUCCAGCUCUACCACAGAGGAAGUGCAAUAUCACCUUAGUUAUUCAACACAUUAUGCUCCUCGUGAUACAACCAGAGUUCACAUCAGCAAUCUUGGCAGCUCUCACCACGCUGCUGACUCACGACUCUCUCAUGUCCCAAUUUCCUGUCCAUUGUUCUUUCCUCUACUUGGCCUGAUUUCUAAAGGCCUCUCUUGGUUGCAUUAAGCGGGAUUCCUGAGGGAUUCCCUUGGCAGUUACCUUGGGGGAGCUCUUAGGUUUGGGGCUGAUCCAUGUCCUCUAAAUGUAGGACUUCAAAGCUCCCAAAGAUAGGCAGGCCCAGUGGGAAGCUGGGAAAUGCUCUCUGACCCCUCUGGGAGGGCUGGCAGUCAGAGGGCCUUUUGGAAAGAGUCAGACCUGAUCCAUAAGUCCCUGGAAAACACCCUGCCCAGGGAGCAAAUGCCACUGUGGCCUUGACUGAGGCUUCAGAAGAGUUUGGGAGCUGCAAUUCAUCCACACACGCAUUCAUUUUCAAGUAGUGGUUUGCAGUUCAGGCUUUGGAGCCACAUAAGCCUGGCUUCAAAGCCACUUUCCAGCUUUGUAGGAAGUCUCUACAUUUUUAAACCUCCAUUUUUUUUUCCUGUAAAACUGGGGUCUUCAUGGUACUUAACUUCAUCGUGAUGUUGAGAGAAUGAAAAGAAAAAGGAUAAAUAAAUGGCUUAGCCUCGUGCCUUGGCACAUAUUGUGAUUGUUUCUUCACGUCUUUGUUCUCCUGGUGAAGCAUUUAUUCAGCAAGUGUUCACCAAGAGGCUGCCGGGGCAGCUGGGCGCUGUGGCGGAAAGAACACAGAUGCUAAUAAAAGCCUGAGCACAGGAUCAGGCUCUGUGGGUAAAGAUGCUCCAGUGGACCAGCUGAACACUUUACAGGAGACUCGUUCUGGCUCUGCAUUUGGACGGCUGAGCUCCCACCCACUUCAUCCCCCACCCGCAGCACACACACCAGCUUCUGGGCCAUUUCUGAGUUGGGAGCUUCUCAGAUUACGCUCAGUGUGACCUUGGGCAAAUCCCAUCACUCAUCUCAGCCUCUGGCAUAUUUCCUAUAAAACAGAGAUAAUAAUACCCACCAUACCAAGUUUUUGUAGUAGAUUAACCAACAGCAAAUGUGAAGUGCCCAGCGAAGCCCAGCAUGUGGUUGAUGCUCCACAACUUCUAGCUCCAUUCCCCCCACCACACCUUCCAUAACCGUGUGCCAAGCUUGGGCUAGAUGCUGGUGGUCAACAGAUUAAAAGAAGCUAGACCUGCCUGCAGGGAAUUUAAACUUUAAUGGGGGAAAUAAACAUUUGAACUUCUAUCCCAGAGAAAGAGCGCUAAGG